GACGACACAUCGACAGCAUCACUGCCACAGUCUGAACACGACAACACUGAAGCUUACUUUCAUCUACUCUGACAUGAAUGCAGUUGUGAGAAGAGAAAGAGAGAGAGUGAGCGAGAGACAGAUGCAGUCCCCUCUUAAAGUAUUGUUACGGAGCUGGAAGAUUCAUCCCUUUGACAAUAGUAACAACCAUGUCAGUGCUGCUCAGCUCUGGAAAUAUCCUGAAAGUGAUGUUUAGGGGGAGGAAGACCUCUGGACUGAGCCAGCUUCAGGACCUCCAGACUUUUCUUACAACUCUCCGCCAUCUUC